rnacentral:rRNA from 1 species
CAGUAGCCGCGGUAACACGAAGGGUGCAAGCGUUAAUCGGAAUUACUGGGCGUAAAGCGUGCGUAGGCGGUUUGUUAAGUCUGCUGUGAAAUCCCCGGGCUCAACCUGGGAAUGGCAGUGGAUACCGGCAAGCUAGAGUGUGUCAGAGGAUGGUGGAAUUCCCGGUGUAGCGGUGAAAUGCGUAGAGAUCGGGAGGAACAUCAGUGGCGAAGGCGGCCAUCUGGGACAACACUGACGCUGAGGCACGAAAGCGAGGGGAGCAAACAGGAUUAGAUACCCCCGUAGUCCCUGUCUCUUAUAC